UCGGCAGGGCUGUGCUGCGCGCACAUGCACGGUAGCACGGAACGUGGCUCGGUCGCAGCUCACCUCGCCGGGGCUGAGGACGGGCUGGCCGGAGAGCGGCUAGGCGCGACGGGGCUCGCGUCGACCAAGGGAGUGGAGAGCGGUGCACGCCAUGGACGGCAUUUGGGGAGGGAAAGGGCAGCACGACAUGGAAGAAAAGGGAGAAGAGACUUGCCGAGCGGGAGAAGCGGUUUGGGAAGAGGAAAAUCGACUUGUUUGCCGCUUCUUGCCGGCCGUAGGAACAGCCGCGUCGGGGCGAAGCGCUUGCGGGAGAAGCCUCCCAGAAGUUGUGUUUGGUUCAGCUUCCGGCUUCUGGCGGCCAGAAUCUCCCCAGAAGCUGAACCAAACAGGGGCGUUGUGUCGCGUUUCCCUGCGGGUGGCUGGGGCGGCUGUCCCGCGAGCUGCACUGGACCUUCGUGCUCGCGGUCGCCGCCGUCUACGGUCUACGGCGCCUGUCAAGGCGUCGGCAACGCCAUCGGCGGAGUCGCCGCGGGGUACUACUGGAAGGACGUGCAGCGCGUGCAGCCUUCGGUGGCCCAGUUCUACCAAGGCGUCACGGACGCGCCGUGGAUCGUCAAACCCAUCUGGGGCCUGCUCACCGACGUCGUCCCCGUGGCCGGGUUCCGCCGCCGCCCAUACUUCGUUCUCGCAGGCGUGAUUGGCGUGUCAUCUAUGCUGAUGUUUUCCCUAAACCACGAGCUGGGGAUUAUGCCGGCGUUGCUGAUGCUGACGGCGCAGAGUGCGGGCGCCGCUGUAGGCGACGUGACAGUGGACGCUCUGGUUGCUCAGAACAGCAUCACGCACCCGCCCCUUGCUGCUGAUAUGCAAAGCUUGUGUGGGUUUAGCUCCUCUAUUGGAGCGCUGCUUGGAUUCUCCCUAAGUGGCUUGCUUGUGCACUCAAUGGGCUCCCAGGGGGCUCUUGGUCUGUUGAGUAUCCCCUCUGCACUGGUGUUAUUAGCUGGCAUUCUGCUGAAGGAGAACCGUGGUACAGAAUUUGAUUACAUGCAGGUUCACAAGAAGUUCUAUAAAGCAAUACAAUCCAUGGGAAGAACACUGAAGUGCCCUCAGGUCUGGAGACCAUGUGCAUAUAUUUUUGUUUCUCUCAAUUUAAGCCUGGAUAUUCAAGGAGGAAUGUUCUAUUGGUACACGGACCCUGUUGUUGGACCAGGAUUUUCUGAGGGAUAUAUUGGUCUCAUCUAUUCAAUUGGUUCAGUUGGUUCACUAAUUGGAGUUUUACUAUACCAAAGCACCCUAAAGGACUAUACUUUUCGGAGCAUGCUAUUAUGGGGUCAAGUGCUCUCAAGUCUGGCAGGAAUGCUUGAUCUGGUGUUAGUGACCCGGCUAAACCUGAAAAUUGGCAUGCCGGAUUACUUCUUUGCGGUGGCUGAUAACACAGUUUCCCAAAUGGUUGGUAGGCUCCAAUGGCUACCACUACUUGUGCUUUGCUCUAAGCUUUGUCCUCCUGGCACCGAAGGGACAUUGUAUGCAUUACUCAUGUCUCUACAAAAUGCCGGGUUGCUGAUGUCUGCUUGGUGGGGUGGCCUGCUGCUGCACAUGCUGAACGUGACCCGAUUGGAGUUCAGUAACCUCUGGAUCGCCGUCUUGAUUAGAAACAUAUCAAGGUUUGUCCCUUUGAUGCUACUGUUUCUUGUUCCUGACUGUGAUCAGAACUCAGCACUCCUGCCUGCAGAGAUGCUUCAUGGCAGUGAAUCAACAGAAACCAUGGAAAAAGGAUCAAAUGAGUUUUCUGUUCUUGUUGGAGACGAUUGUGGCUGCAUUUCUCCUGAUGUGACAGUUGAUAAUGAGCAAAUCAAAAUGUUUGAUGCUGAAAUUGAUGAUGUCGAAUUGAUCCCACUGGUUAACAAGAGCGGAUUGACCAUCUCAUGAUGCCUUGAAUGCCAGGAUCCUUAUGCUGAUUCUACUAGACAUUGUUCGGUUAUUCCCAUCCUAUAUAGAUUGGAUGGGAUUGGAAAAAAUUAUGAGGAGACUUUUUUACUGCGACAUGAACGGUAAAGGGAAUUGAAGAAUUUGGUAAUGAAGGCCGAUGAAUUACUGUUACAGGGGUGGUGGUACCAGUCAUGUGCUGGAGUACUUUAGUUGGCAAUUCAGUUCCUUCUGUCACUGUCGCCCUAGACGAGCGACUGACUGACCACAAAGUUUCUUGUUACAGAAAGCCCAUUACUUAUUUAAUUUCUUUCUUUUGAAAGGAGAAAAUAUCGUGAAAGUGUCUCUAGCUGAGUUGGUUAGGUGGUAAUAUAAUGACCCCAUCCGAUGCUACAAUACUGCUGGCAUUGAAGCUAAUGACCCCAAAAAUCAGGUUUGGAGUUUAAUUUUGAGGGGUACUUUUCCCGACGACACACCAUGCCAGGAUAGGACCAUUCUGCCUCUAUUUGCUCAGUAUUCAACUCCCCCCUGACAAAAUUGAGAAACUCCCUUGUUGUUCGAGAUAAAGAAAUUUCCUUCCUUUUAGGUAUUUAGCUUUCACCAGCUUAAACCAAGUUUCAUCAGAGCCUUUGACUUUUCCAUAUCCACUUAAUUAAUAGAUAUUACUCAUUUGGAAGUCUCGUGUUUAUAAUGCCAAGACCGCCUUGGUCUCUUGGUCUGUUGUCUGCUUCCCAUUUAGCCAUGUGAUAUUUGAAUUUGUCAUUAGCUCCUUGCUAAAAGAACGUAGCUAUGAUAGAAUCUAUUUGUCAUGAGUGAUCCCAGGGAACAAGUAGAAACCCAUCAUGUACAUUGGCAAGCUGCUUAAACAGGUGCUGGUGAGAAUGAGUUUAACUCCUGAGGUGAUGUACAUGCCUUUCCAACUGUCUAACCUUUUUUUGAUCAUGUUGUUACUUAUCCCCAAGAAAGAAUUUGGACUCAGAAGUUUAUCAGGGGUUGGCAUGCCAAAUAAUUAAUGGACAAAUCACCCAGCCUGUCCUCCAGUGGUACUCCAAAGACAAGGACUUCACUUGCAUGUCCUGUUGAUGAUGACAUGUCCGACUGCUUGAACCGGGGAAUGGAAUAUGGAAGCGGCAAGCGUCGGCUAGGAAGAAUCGGGAGCGCACGUUCCGUUACCCAUACGGACGCGUGUGUGGCUCCACUGCCGACGCCAACCAGCUGCUCGAUUUGCUUCUCUCGAGUGAGCUUGACCCUGUUUGAAAUUGGAUUUGCUUCUGUAGAUAUGUGAACGUGAAAAGAUCUAGAAUCCAAUGGCAGAUCAUCCCAACCUAUCUCUAAACACGGUCAUGCU